rnacentral:misc_RNA from 1 species
GAUGAAGAACGUAGUGAAAUGCGAUAAGUAAUGUUAAUUGCAGAAUUCAGUGAAUCAUCGAAUCUUUGAACGCACCUUGCGCCUUUUGGUAUUCCGAAAGGCACACCUGUUUGAGCGUCAUGAAUACCUCAAUCUCCAUCUUUUCUUCGGAUUGAUGGGUGACUUGGAUGUUGAGCCCUGCUGGUAUGCUAUAUCAGCUGGCUUUAAACUUAUUAGCCGGCUCUGUACUGGAUCGGUUUGACUCGACGUGAUAAUAUUAUCGUUGAGGAUGCAUGUCUCAUGCAGCCGGAAAGUAUCAAAGCAGCUUCUAGCUUGCCUUUAGUGCACUUUUACAUUUUAGACCUCAGAUCAGGUGGGACUACCCGCUGAACUUAAGCAUAUCAAUAAGCGGAGGA